AACGUAGGAGACAAACGUUAUCCGGAGUUACUGGGCGUAAAGGGCGUGUAGGUGGUUUUGUAAGUCUGGCGUGAAAUUUUUCGGCUUAACCGGGAAAGGUCGUCGGAUACUGCAAGGCUAGAGGACGGUAGAGGCGUGUGGAAUUCCGGGUGUAGUGGUGAAAUGCGUAGAGAUCGGGAGGAACACCCGUGGCGAAGGCGGCCUGCUGGGCCGAUCCUGACGCUGAGGCACGAAAGCGUGGGUAGCAAACAGG
rnacentral:rRNA from 1 species